rnacentral:rRNA from 1 species
ACUCCUACGGGAGGCAGCAGUAGGGAAUUUUCCGCAAUGGACGAAAGUCUGACGGAGCAAUGCCGCGUGAGUGAUGAAGGUUUUCGAAUCGUAAAGCUCUGUUGUAAGGGAAGAAUAGCAAGAAUAGGAAAGAUUCUUGUCGAGGUACCUUACCAGAAAGCCACGGCUAACUACGUGCCAGCAGCCGCGGUAAUACGUAGGUGGCAAGCGUUAUCCGGAAUUAUUGGGGCGUAAAGCGCAUGUAGGCGGCUUUUUAAGUCUGAUGUGAAAG